rnacentral:tRNA from 1 species
GCCUGGGUGGCUCAGUUGGUUAAGUGUCUGACUUCAGCUCAGGUUGUGAUCCCACAGUUUGUGAGUUCGAGCCCCACAUCGGGCU